AUUUUUAAUAUUGGCAUCGAAAGCGUUGCGUUUAAGCGUCCAUUUUUCGUCUCGCCACCAACACCAAUACCAAGCUGACUGUAGGUACAGGCGGUAUACUCCAAUUGGGGCCUCGCAGUCUCAGUCGAUUCUUGCUAAAGUACCAAGUAUGAAUAAGAAAUUUGGAGCAGCGAAGCAGCCCACCGGCACUCCUUCACUGGGCUGGUCAUGCGUUGUUGUCAUCAUUUCACUUCUCACAGGCGCCUCCGCUGUUCACAACAUCUAUAAACCUGAUCUAAGAUUGCCUCCAGAGAAUAGCGUUGAUACAGCCAACAAGAGUCAACCUGAAACAAGCAAAUAAUCUUUUCUCUCUUUGGUUAAGAUACAAUUGUAUGUGGAUUUCAAUUUUACAAGUCUUUUGCUUUGAAGUUUUACUGCUUGUCUAUUUGGUUACAUGUGUCAUUUGAUUGGUAUUUGACUGAAAGAAGAAAUAUGUCAAAGCUUCAAUUUUUAAUC